rnacentral:rRNA from 1 species
UUCCGGUUGAUCCUGCCGGAGGUCAUUGCUAUUGGAGUCCGAUUUAGCCAUGCUAGUUGCACGAGUUCAGACUCGUAGCAGAUAGCUCAGUAACACGUGGCCAAACUACCCUCUGGACGUGGACAACCUCGGGAAACUGAGGCUAAUCCGCGAUAGGGGUCUUAUCCUGGAGUGGAGAGACCCUGAAACGCUCCGGCGCCAGAGGAUGUGGCUGCGGCCGAUUAGGUAGACGGUGGGGUAACGGCCCACCGUGCCAGUAAUCGGUACGGGUUGUGAGAGCAAGAGCCCGGAGACGGUAUCUGAGACAAGAUACCGGGCCCUACGGGGCGCAGCAGGCGCGAAACCUUUACACUGCACGCCAGUGCGAUAAGGGGACUCCAAGUGCGAGGGCAUAGAGCCCUCGCUUUUCUGUACCGUAAGGUGGUACAAGAAUAAGUGCUGGGCAAGACCGGUGCCAGCCGCCGCGGUAAUACCGGCAGCACGAGUGAUGGCCGCUCUUAUUGGGCCUAAAGCGUCCGUAGCUGGCCGCGCAAGUCCAUCGGGAAAUCCGCACGCCUAACGUGCGGGCGUCCGGUGGAAACUGCGUGGCUUGGGACCGGAAGAUCCAGAGGGUACGUCUGGGGUAGGAGUGAAAUCCUGUAAUCCUGGACGGACCACCGGUGGCGAAAGCGCUCUGGAAGGACGGAUCCGACGGUGAGGGACGAAAGCUCGGGUCACGAACCGGAUUAGAUACCCGAGUAGUCCGAGCUGUAAACGAUGUCUGCUAGGUGUGCCACAGGCUACGAGCCUGUGGUGUGCCGUAGGGAAGCCGUGAAGCAGACCGCCAGGAAGUAC